CAGGGAUUGCCUCAGUAACGGCGAGUGAAGCGGCAAAAGCUCAAAUUUGAAAUCUGGCUCCCUCGGGGUCCGAGUUGUAAUUUGUAGAGGAGAUUUCGGGCGCGGCGCCGGUCUAAGUCCCUUGGAACAGGGCGUCACAGAGGGUGAGAAUCCCGUAUGUGACCGGUGACCAACCCCAUGUGAAACUCCUUCGACGAGUCGAGUUGUUUGGGAAUGCAGCUCAAAACGGGAGGUAAAUUUCUUCUAAAGCUAAAUACCGGCCAGAGACCGAUAGCGCACAAGUAGAGUGAUCGAAAGAUGAAAAGCACUUUGGAAAGAGAGUCAAACAGUACGUGAAAUUGUUGAAAGGGAAGCGCUUGCAACCAGACCUGUCCGUGGGCGAUCAACCUCUGUUCUCAGGGGUGCACUCGUCCACGAUCAGGCCAGCAUCGGUUCGGGCGGCCGGAUAAAGGCCUUGGGAAUGUGGCUCCCCUCGGGGAGUGUUAUAGCCCUCGGUGCAAUGCGGCCAGCCCGGACCGAGGACCGCGCUUCGGCUAGGAUGCUGGCGUAAUGGUUGUAAGCGACCCGUCUUGAAACACGGACCAAGGAGUUGACUAUCGAUGCGAGUGUUUGGGUGUCAAACCCAUACGCGCAAUGAAAGUGAACGGAGGUGAGAACCCUUAAGGGCGCAUCAUCGACCGAUCCAGAUGUCUUCGGAUGGAUUUGAGUACGAGCAUCGCUAGUCUGACCCGAAAGAUGGUGAUCUAUACUUGAAUAGGGUGAAGCCAGAGGAAACUCUGGUGGAGGCUCGCAGCGGUUCUGACGUGCAAAUCGAUCGUCAAAUUUGAGUAUAGGGGCGAAAGACUAAUCGAACCAUCUAGUAGCUGGUUCCUGCCGAAGUUUCCCUCAGGA
rnacentral:rRNA from 1 species